rnacentral:misc_RNA from 1 species
UAAAUACGUCUGCGCGUUCUAAGAGGGAGCGACGGGCUUGCUUCAAAGAAGGGUCAUAGUAGGCAUUAAAAUUGUCAAGGCCAACUACGCCGUUCCCACGGCGGCGCAAUGCCGCACAGACGUGGAUCCAGCAGCCCCAGUGACAAGAACUUUGAGGCCGCCUGCUCGAGACCUGGGCUUUCCCGAUUUGAUCACCCGGAUCUCCCAAUCGGGAUCGGCCAGAAAGCGGCGUUGGGAGGAGGAAGAAGAAGAAUGAGGGGAGUGUAGGAAGAAGAGGAGGAUAAGGCCAAGGAAAAUGCAGGUCCAGAAGACGAGUUUGGUGAUUGAAAAAUGGUAACGAAAGCGAUUAAUGUAUAAGGGUUUGUCCAUUUGGGAAUUUUGCAGAGAUGCAAACGUUGGAGAGUAAUGUAAUUUUGGUUUAAUCUUUUGGUUGCUCGCAGUUGGUGUUUUUGAUGCCUAUCUCAUUCCCCAGAAUAACAAAGAGCU